rnacentral:tRNA from 1 species
GGAGCGAUGGCUCAGUCAUGGAGCAUUUGCUUGGCAUGCAAAAGGUCCCAGGUUUAAGGCCUGGCAUCUCUA